rnacentral:rRNA from 1 species
UGGGGAAUUUUGGACAAUGGGGGCAACCCUGAUCCAGCCAUGCCGCGUGAGUGAAGAAGGCCUUCGGGUUGUAAAGCUCUUUCGGCGGGGAAGAAAUGGCAACGGCUAAUAUCCGUUGUUGAUGACGGUACCCGCAUAAGAAGCACCGGCUAACUACGUGCCAGCAGCCGCGGUAAUACGUAGGGUGCGAGCGUUAAUCGGAAUUACUGGGCGUAAAGCGUGCGCAGGCGGUUUCGUAAGACAGACGUGAAAUCCCCGGGCUCAACCUGGGAACUGCGUUUGUGACUGCGAGGCUAGAGUACGGCAGAGGGUGGUAGAAUUCCACGUGUAGCAGUGAAAUGCGUAGAGAUGUGGAGGAAUACCGAUGGCGAAGGCAGCCCCCUGGGUUAGUACUGACGCUCAUGCACGAAAGCGUGGGGAGCAAACA